GGCAUGGUACGUAGUACUAGUUCUACUGGUCCAUGUUUACCAGGAGUACAUAUAUAAACUCAUCCCGCUAGAGUUUUGCUUUUUCACGUUCCUCCUUGCAUGUCCGGGGUGCAACCGCGCAAGGCUAGCUAGCCAUGUUUUGGAAGAAUCAAGUGAGCCAUAUAUGUGUGGAAGCAUUCGAAGAAAAUUGUCCAUGUGAGCCCAUGAACGGAGAGCCCAAGCUAUCUCCUUGACGGCCCUCGAAGAAGUGGAAAUCAGAAGCUUCAAAGGAGACGGCCAAUGAGUUUGUUUUCUGGAAAGCAUUGUAUCGGUGUUGUUUUUGCAGCUUGUAUAUGUAUGUGUGUGCGACACACAAAUGAGAAAAAACAAGAAAAUGUGUGUGUGUAACACACAAAUAAGAGAGAAUGCAAAAAGAAAAAAAAAUGUGUGUGUGCGACACACAAGUAAGAGAGAAAACCUAAGAGGAAAAAUGUGUGUUUCCUUGCACACACAAAUAAGAGAGAAAAACUAAGAGAAAAAAUGUGUCUUUCCUAUCCUUAUUGCUACAACGUCUGUAAUAUACCUGAGUUGGUAGGCUACAUCACUUAAAAACUUCAGACACAACAGCAUUGGCACUUUAGAAACAGAAUCGGCCUAUUCGUGUCUUUCCAUGCUGCCAAAAAUAUAUCUAAUAAACGCUUGCAUAA